rnacentral:rRNA from 1 species
AGAGUUUGAUCCUGGCUCAGAUUGAACGCUGGCGGCAGGCCUAACACAUGCAAGUCGAGCGGAUGAGUGGAGCUUGCUCCAUGAUUCAGCGGCGGACGGGUGAGUAAUGCCUAGGAAUCUGCCUGGUAGUGGGGGACAACGUUUCGAAAGGAACGCUAAUACCGCAUACGUCCUACGGGAGAAAGCAGGGGACCUUCGGGCCUUGCGCUAUCAGAUGAGCCUAGGUCGGAUUAGCUAGUAGGUGAGGUAAUGGCUCACCUAGGCGACGAUCCGUAACUGGUCUGAGAGGAUGAUCAGUCACACUGGAACUG